rnacentral:lncRNA from 1 species
GUUUGGUAAGAAAGUUAUUAAAAUUUUUAAAACUUUAACCACAGAGUGAAUGUAAUGUCAACUGCCAGAAAAACUAAGUUCAUCUAUAAGUAAAAUACGAAAAAUAAGGAUUAAUUUUUUUUAAAUGACUUCUGGAUAUAAAAAUAAUAUUGCAUCUUAAUUAUGCAGUGAAAAUGGACAACACAAUUUUCACUAGGACAAUAUCAAAUACAGUCACCAACAUUGGGUAAGGUGUUUAACAAAUACAAAUACAAUCAUUCCUUAAGACUUUACAUGUGCUUGUUAUCAUAAUUUAUGUUACAAUGAAUUUUUUAAUGAACUUACUAAGCUUGCAUGUUGUCUAUUUUUUUAUUUAUUUUUUUCAACUGUAAAUAAGUCUUUAAAUUAAUACACAUUAUUAAUUUGGAAUUUUACAUUUUG